UUGGUAGGUACCUUUUCAUUUGAAUUAAAGCUGGAACUGGAACGUAACAGUGAAGAAAAGGAUGCUGAUUACUUGAUGUAUUGAAAAUACCAACUGGGCCCUGUUCAUGUUUCAACGUUCUGCUUCUGACACUGCGCACGCUGCAGCGUGCUGGGAGCUAUAGCAUACCAGCAGCGCGUUGGGUGUUCAUGGAAACAUUACAAACUCGGAUGCCUCAAUGCUGAAGCUUUGAGCCGAAUUCGUCUUGAACGCUGCACCAGCGCUCUGCAGUGCACGCACCAUCCAGACCGUGAAACAGGGCUCUGGUCGUAGAUGUUGAUUUCUUUGUAACUGGUAACGGAAGCAUCAAGCAUGAUGAGCAGCACCAUGAAGAGUGAGUUGCUGCCGCUGGUAUUGAAAUAUAAGUAACUUUUUGUCUUUUAGCAGAGCUAGACAUUAAAUUUGGUAUCCUUUUACAAACUUACUAUUAUGGAUGUCAAGAUGUUGCUAACAGUGGUGCUGGCACCACCAACACCAGUCUAUCUCUUUAUGCUGGUGUUUCAUCCCUUUGCACUGCAGAUGGUUGACAAAGCACAAAGCAAAGCAAGCACAAAGCAUUCACUCAGUUCCUAAUCUCGGUCUCCGCUGCUCUCACCUGUGUCAGCUGUCUUGUCUACCCCUGUACUCCUGAGUCCUUACUCCCUCUCUCUUUCGCUUUACCCAGGUUUUGUCAAUGUUCUGCAUGUACAGUUGCUGCUUUUUGGUGCGCCCAGGCUGUUCAUCCAAUUAAUGCCUGAAGAGUUGCUGAAAGUGCCUCCCGCCAGACUUGCUGAAUGGCUAUUACCUGCAUCUGCUAUCUGGACUGAAGCUUCCCCAACUAGCUGACAUGGGUCUCGGCAGCUGGGCUUAAUAGGUCACAGGUCAAAGUUCAUUCGGGGCAGGUUCAUAAAAUGUUAAGGACAUGUGUAAAAUUGAUCAACUCGAGGGUACUGAAAGUUUCGUCGCAAUCGGCCUCUUUUUUUACGAGAGCUAUCGGCGAAAAACCGAGAAGGGGUCCGUUCGACCCCCCCCCCCCCAUACGGGUGAGGGUUAAGCUACAUUCGGAAAUUCAAACUACAUCUAGCUAAGCACAUCAGCCCAUCAUGGGCGUUUGACUAGUAAAAUAUAGACGUUUCAGCCUUAUGUUACGUUGAAUAAGCCUAAUUUAAUUAUAGAAGGUCGUCAUUAUGUGCCUGCUGCGGCUUUUGUCGUCUUCAUUGUGUGCUUUGUGGUUUUUUAGUUUUGAUCAUAUCAUCCUCCACCAGGCUUGUUUCUGACGGUGGUUCUGAAGACAGCGGGUCGAUCCAGCUGUAGGACGUCAUCUGGAGGUGGAAGAGUGUGAUGGCCAGCCACGCGGCGCGCGUAUCGACAUUGACCAGAAACCAUCACAUCAUCUCCAGGUCACUGGUCGCGGGCGCUCGAGCUGACGGUGUCUUCCAACGGCUCCACGGUGACCAGCGCCGCCACCGCCGAGACCAUCCGACUCCUGAAAUGAUAAUGGCCGUACACGAACAAGAGGCUCUAAGCAUCCAGGUGCAAGCAAGCGCCAUGCUCAGAGGCGUCAUCCGAAGAAGGUCGCACAGGGCACUUAAGGCUGAGCUCGGGUGUAGUGCGCGCUGACGGAUAGGAUGAAAUGACGGCCAUCAUCUUUCAGUGCGGAGAUCAAGAUGGUCGGAGCCGACGUGGCUCCGUUGAUGGUUGCUGGGGUUGAUUGAGAGUGGAGGCGAGACACCCGGAUCUGUGAAGGAUACGUCGAUACAGGUCUCGACGUCGUCUCGCAAUUUGUGCUAUGUAAUAUGACGGCUAUGCCGUGGUCUCAUUCACUCUCGAUACGCUGAUAAAUCAUAAAUAGGACAGAGGCUGGAAUAAAGAUGAUUAUAUUCCAUAU
rnacentral:lncRNA from 1 species